UCUUACGGAUGAGCAAAGAAAGUAGUUUCUUAAGAUGGAAUCUACUCCAUCUGAAGAUGCCAUGAA
rnacentral:pre_miRNA from 1 species